UCCCAGGUGGCUUAGACGGUAAAGAAUCUGCCUGCAAUACAGGAGACCCGGAUUUGAUCCCCGGGUUGGGAA
rfam:TPA: Bos taurus chromosome 11, whole genome shotgun sequence.